rnacentral:rRNA from 1 species
AUUGAACGCUGGCGGCAUGCUUUACACAUGCAAGUCGAACGGUAACAGGUUAAGCUGACGAGUGGCGAACGGGUGAGUAAUGCAUCGGAACGUGCCCGAUCGUGGGGGAUAACGCAGCGAAAGCUGCGCUAAUACCGCAUACGAUCUGAGGAUGAAAAGCGGGGGGACCGUAAGGCCUCGCGCGAUCGGAGCGGCCGAUGUCAGAUUAGGUAGUUGGUGGGGGUAAAGGCUCACCAAGCCGACGAUCUGUAGCUGGUCUGAGAGGACGACCAGCCACACUGGGACUGAGACACGGCCCAGACUCCUACGGGAGGCAGCAGUGGGGAAUUUUGGACAAUGGGCGCAGGCCUGAUCCAGCAAUGCCGCGUGCAGGAGAAGGCC